UACGUAGGUGGCGAGCGUUGUCCGGAAUUACUGGGCGUAAAGAGCGCGCAGGCGGCUGGUCAAGUCCGACGUGAAAUCUCCCGGCUUAACUGGGAAAUUGCAUCGGAAACUGAUCGGCUUGAAGGUGGGAGAGGGUAGCGGAAUUCCCGGUGUAGUGGUGAAAUGCGUAGAUAUCGGGAGGAACACCAAUGGCGAAGGCAGCUCGCUGGGACGGUACUGACGCUGAGACGCGAAAGCGUGGGGAGCAAACAGG
rnacentral:rRNA from 1 species